GGGUGUAUGGUGUAACGGAUAGCAUUCCGACCUUCUAAGUCGGAGAUGGGGGUUCAAUUCCUCCUACGCCCG
rnacentral:tRNA from 1 species